CCAACUGAGAAUCCUUCCUUGAUUCCUUCUCUCUCUCUCUCCCGUCUCUGAAUUUCCUGUGGCGUGGCGAGAACCCUAGGCUUGGGAAGAGAAGCAUGGGGCGCUGCAGAUCCCAAUCAGUAGAGUAGCGUUGUUGUUGAUUAAUAUUGUACACGGUGCACUCUUUCUAUUCCUCUCACUCAAAAGUAUACGGUGUACCCAUUUGAUCUGGUAGGCAAUGGUCACCAGGAUUGGAUACUUAGUUGGCCAUUAGUCAAGUACGUGUACCCUGCUGGUUAAUUGUUGGGGAAAUUGGCCACGAGACACAGCAUUUUCUGAAACACACCGUUGGAUUGCGCCUUUGCCAGCAGUACCAUUACAGUUCUGUGGUCAUUUGCCACAACACACCGCCUGGGCCAAAACAAAAAAUUUGAUUUUCAAACGCGAAAUUACCAUCUUGCCCUACUAACACGACAUGACGUUCAUACACACGAAAGUUUGUACUCAUUCGAAUGAAUUAUACUGUUUUUAAGUACUAUAUACUUCAACGUAGAAACUUUUGUUUUCGAUGCGAAAUCCCUUUGUUAUCAGCAAUUAGGAAAUGGGCAAGCUAGAAUCAAUCAAGGGCUGCACAUAUGGAGGUAGAUUUCCAUAUCAAGUUUUGUGUUAAAGUUUUUAGGCCUCUGAUCAGCAUACCAUAUGCAUCUGGUACAGUGUUGUACAUUCCUUUUCUUUCGAUCAAAUGAAAUAAAUUUAUGUGAAUAAGAAAGUAUCUUCAAAUGGUAGUUAUCUAUCAAAAUAAAAUAAAUGGGACAGGAAAUAAUCCCAUGGUAAACAGCACUAGAAACAAAAAUAAAAUCCUGUAAGGCCUAUAAUUUGUUCUGUUAUAUCUUCAUUUCUCACUGUUUAUUCUAGAGAUUUGGUGUACUGUUCUAAAAUAUGCCGAUUAAUCGCUACUCGGCAGUGCAACUUCUAGAUUAUCUUUAUCGUUGCCACUAUGUGCUCGGCCUGAACAGCGAUUAACAGGCCGCUCCCUCGACCAAAAUUGGCCCGCGCCCUUGCACCCAAAUGGCCCACGCCCCUCCCGCAUCCUUUUCUUCCGGCAGUUUUCCCCGCAGCUCGGUCUCCCUCCUCUGCCUUUUCACCGCCGCCGCCACCAGAUUGAGCGAUCCGGCGACCGGAUCUAGCCCGACCGGAGGGUGAGGGCCGCCUACCUCUCCUCCUUCUCCCACUCUGGUUUUCCUCACUCCCAUCUCCGGCUCCCCCUACCAGCUUGCCCGGCCGGAGCGCUGCCUCCCUCCUGCCUGCCCUCUAGUUCUCCUCUUCUCCGCCCCCUCCCCCACCAUUGGCCAGCACUAACGGCAGCGGCUCCCCUUACAAGCUCCUCCCCCAUCCCCUGCCCUCCAAGAUGUUGAGAACUUCCGUUGGAUCCAGGACAUUCCGCCUAUUCUAUCUACUCAAGCUAUGCGUGAGUUCGUGACGCUCUUUGGUCCCUGACUCCAUCUCCUGGAAAAUGUCGAGCUCUGGGGUUUACACCGCGGCAUCGGCCUACAUGGCCUAAUUUAAUGGCCUCUGAGACAACCUUUUGAUAGGAUUAUCUGGAAGUGUUGGGGGCCUGAGAAGUGUAAAUUUUUUGGGUGGCUCCUGGUCCAGCCGUCCAGGAGUGGAUCCCCACUGCUGAUGUCCUGAUGAAAAAGGUGAUUCCUUCUUAUAGGUCUGCUUCCCUCUUCCUGCUGUCUCUGUGGUCCAUUUGGAAGCUAGGAGCAGGCCUUGCGACGUUAUUAAGGCGAUCUAUGAUGAUGCAAUCCUUUGGCGCAAAGCUGGGAAUGUUGGCCCAGGCAAGCUUCCCUCGGGAGUGGAGGACGAUGUUCCCUGAAUUAGUUUUUUUUCUCUUGCCUGGCCCUAGGGCCCUGUAUCCCCCUCUGUAAAUCUCUCUUUUUAGCGUUGUAACUUCUGCUCUCCGCAGGUCGAUUCUUGUCGACCUUCUUGGCAAUAAAAUAGCACGCUGUGUUGUUUUGCGUAAAAAA